UCGAAUACACAUACGAAAAAAAUCAACUACGAAAACAGAGCUGAAAUAUACGAUACGAUCGGCCGGAUCGUAACACAACGCCUAAAGAAAUGUUUGAUAUCCAGAUAUACCAUAUGUAAACUGUAUCGCACGAGAAGUUUGCACUGUUAUGGCAUCUUACUCCAGAUGGGGCGACAAAUUAAAAUGCACACUCAUCGAUAUCUUUUGACAGAGGUAUUGAAAGAUAAGCUUGGAUUCAAGGAUAAAUGAUGCUGUUGAAAGAAUCUUGAGAGACAAGUUUGUUGAUGGAUCGUUUGAACAUCCAUUUAAAGAUAGAACACUAACAGAUUUAGUUGGUUGCGAGGAUGCGUUGCGGGAAAUGAUAGAAAAUGAGAUGGAGAUAGUAUUUGAGCCAAAUCCUACGCCAGAAAACUUCUCUUUAGCUAUCGUGGCCAUUGGUGAGGGUCCCAUAUUGCUGAACUGGUGGUGAUGAUCCAGAGCUAAAAAUUCCAUUUAAUGGAACAAAAAUUGCAAUCUCUGUUGUUGACAGAGUUCCCACAGUGACAAUUCUAAUUUCUGGAAGACCUAUGGUAUUAGAACCAGCUCAAGUAGAUGCAUUUGUUGCAGGCUUGCAGCUUGGUUGCCAGGAACCAAAGGAGCAAGAAUCACAUAUGUUCUUUUUGGAGAUUAUCCAUAUCAACCUGACAUGGUUUAAAACUGUUGAUUAAUUGCCGAUGCAUCCAUUCCAACGGCGUCCACCGUUGUACAUACAUAACAUUAGUUAUAUUAUCAGCUAGGUUUGAGGCGUCGUCCCUAAAGCUAACAUGUGGACGACCCUCAUUACUGCUAGCAGCUGUUGUUACCCUAUCAUUUGUCAAAACAGUAGUGUUAAGGGCGUCUGCAUCUAUCAAGUUACUAACAAAACAUGGUUGGGUAUUCUGAAAGGCUGCUUCUCUUGCUUCUGGGAUAGAUACUAGAAGUUGAGUAGCGGCUCCUAGUUGAUC